UCAGUGCUCAGCAGCAUUUUCUCCCAGAGACAAAGCUGGGGACUUGGGGCCUGGGUGUAGCUCCUGCAGCCUUAAUUGCUGAGUGCGAAGCUCCUGCAGAGAGCCCAGCCUUUGGAGGAGCCCAGCCAUCCACCCUUCAGGAAGAGGCCGGCUCUGAGCUGCCCAUCUCUUUGUACAUUUCUUCUGACUUGGCAGCAUACACCCAGGGAGCAGAAAUCACUCUAUCUGUGCUGCCGAAGCGAGCACUAGAAAUCACUCUAGACAUUGCAAAAACAUUUAAAGAGGAAAAGUGAAUGAAAAUGCUGCCACUGGCGGAGAAGAGAAGCGUGCUGCUCUCCACACCUAUUCCUGAAUAGCAAGAAAGAAACCCUACCCAGAAGCUGGAGGAAAUCCAGAAGAUGUGGACAAACCCACAGCUUCUCCCUUGAGAGAGAGAUCAAAUUGUGAGAAUUGCCUUCUUAACAAUACUGAGCCUUCUAAUUGAUGUGCCUGGUAUGUCUCUCCAUUUAUUCAGCAUUUCAGGUAAAUAUCUUAUCAACAUUUUGUGGGUUUUAGUUCAUAGCACUUAUACUUCAUUUGUUAAAUUUGUUCCCAAGUAUUUUGUGUUUCUUCUUAUGCUAUUGUGAAUGGAAUUGCCUUUUAAUUUCACCUUUUAUUUUUUGUUCUUGAUAUAUUGAAAUACAGUUAAUUUUGUAUAUUGGUUUGUGUCCUGUGGCAUUGCUGAUCGGGUUUAUUCAUUCUAGUAAGUUUUUGGAGACUCCUUAGAAUUUUCUACAUGUUGUCUGUGAAUAAAGGCAGUUUUACUUCUUC